rnacentral:rRNA from 1 species
CGAACGCUGGCGGCGUGCUUAACACAUGCAAGUCGAACGGAAAGAGGUGAAAGAGCUUGCUCUUUUAUUAAUUUCAGUGGCAAACGGGUGAGUAACACGUAAACAACCUGCCUUAAGGAUGGGGAUAACAGACGGAAACGACUGCUAAUACCGAAUACGUUCUAAGCAUCGCAUGAUGCAUAGAAGAAAGGGAGGCCUCUACAAGAAAGCUAUCGCCUUAAGAGGGGUUUGCGACUGAUUAGGUAGUUGGUGAGGUAACGGCUCACCAAGCCGACGAUCAGUAGCCGGUCUGAGAGGAUGAACGGCCACACUGGAACUGAGACACGGUCCAGACUCCUACGGGAGGCAGCAGUGGGGAAUCUUCCGCAAUGGACGAAAGUCUGACGGAGCAACGCCGCGUGAACGAAGAAGGUCUUCGGAUUGUAAAGUUCUGUGAUUCGGGACGAAAGGGUUUGUGGUGAAUAAUCAUAGACAUUGACGGUACCGAAAAAGCAAGCCACGGCUAA